rnacentral:rRNA from 1 species
UACAGAGGGUGCAAGCGUUGUUCGGAAUUAUUGGGCGUAAAGGGCGCGUAGGCGGUGCGGUAAGUCUGUAGUGAAAUCACUGGGCUCAACUCAGAGUCUGCUGCAGAAACUGCCGUGCUUGAGUGUGGGAGAGGCUUGUGGAAUUCCCGGUGUAGCGGUGAAAUGCGUAGAGAUCGGGAGGAACACCAGAGGCGAAGGCGGCAAGCUGGAUGGGCACUGACACUCAACUGCGAAAGCGUGGGGAGCAAACAGG